rnacentral:snoRNA from 1 species
AUUCAUUUUCAAAUAUUUGCUGACUAAAUGAUACACACGUGAUUAAAUUUAAUCCUGACAGAG